AAGCAAUCCACCUGCCUUGGCCUCCCAAAGUGCUGGGAUUACAGGCAUGAGCCACUGCGCCUGGCCUCAAACAUUCUCUUCUGAUACGCAACUGCAGACCUUAAGCCAUUUCAGCAGCUUAUAGAGUCUGCAAACAAGCUGUCUUUGUGUCCUGCACCUUUUGCUAUAAAGAACGAAAUUCCACCUCAUUUUAGUACUAGAACCCUAGCCCAAAGUGAAAGUGGGGUCUGCUUUACACUACGUGUGUGAAAGUGGGGCGUGCAUUACACUACGUGUGCCUGUGUGCAUACACUCCCCUCCCUUCAUAAAUAUGGAUAGCCUUUCCCGCAAACCUGCUGAAUAUGUAUGACUCUAUUGCGUCAUAUGGGCUCCAUGAGGCACAAAACCCAACCUGCCCUUUUCCUCUCCCAAGAGAGAGCACGUCCAGAACACGCCAGAGACUGUCUCUUCCUGGUUUGCAAACUCAUACCACUAGUCAAAAGGCUGUGGCAGGAGGCCAGGCAGAUCACAGCGUCCAUGCCUAGAUGCUCCCUGACCCCCAGGAACCAGAAGUGCUGUCUCCUGAAGGCUCUGGAAACCCGGAAUCAGCCUACGAGGCACCAGGGCCACCUUGGAGGGUGGAAAUGAGGACCUCAGGCCCCAGAGGGCAUGCAGGCGAGGUGAAGUUCAGGAGAGCCAGGAAGUGUCCCCCUCUUCCCGGCCUGCUGUAUCCCAGGACACAGGGCGGGAAAGAACAUGGGCUGUGUGGCCUUGGACCAAUUGCUUGCCCUCUCUGGGCCUUCUUAUUGGUGACAGACAGACUGGUGACUUUCUGAGAGGAUCUAUGCAACCUCAGGCUCCUGCACCUGGGUUACAGGGUCUUCUGGAGGGGAAGAGAUGAGCAGCAAGGACAAUAGCAGUGCUCCCUUCCCGGGUCAGUUGCAAGGAUUAAGGAUGAUGUCUGCAAAGUGCUUAGUCAGAGCCGGCAUACGGUAAGUGCUCAAUAAAUGCUGGCUCCCAUUAUUAGUAUCCCUUCCCUCCACGCCCUCAACACAUCCCUUUAUCAUGAUGGAAUAACCAAUUGCCUGGUAACAACAUGUUCACACUUCCACGCUCCCCAUCAACCAUGCUCACCUAUAAGGCAGGCUGCGACCAGCUCCUCUUCAUCUAUUCAUUGCCUGGCCCAUGCUAGGGGCCCAAGAAAUGUCUGCUGCAUCAACGAGUGAUUUUGGGAAAGGUGCUGAGCCCUUCUGUCCCAUGAAGUUCUUGCGAGACAGUGUCUCACCAGCAACCUGGAUCGUGAGAACCACAGCGGGUGGGCCAGAUCUAGAUGGAGAGUGUCCAUUGGGCAGAGCUGCUUCUGUGAAAGGAAAGGAAGUUUUUCAAGAAACCAUGAGGGGGGCCCAAGAAUCCAAGUUUCUAACUCUGGGAUCGGUUUUCUGUCUUUUACCUCGGUUUGCCUCUCCCUAGCUGUGUGGUUUAUGGCAAGUCACUCUGUGCCUCUGUCUCCACGUGUUCAAGGAGGCAGCCGGUCCAAGGGGCCUUCAUAGAAGGGGCUGCCGAGAUGUGAGCCCUGCAUUGGGGGGAUGCCCCACAGAGGUGCUGUCCCCCAUCCCCUUUCCAGGUAUGAGUGUCCCCCAGCUCUGAGUGAAUCAGUAGGAGGUGCUGGACCUGGGCUGAUUCUCACAGUGGGACCUCAACUCUAGCCCCGGGUUGGCUGACAUUAGAGGACUUUGGGUCGUUGUUCUGGCAGCUGCAAGGAAGAGCCAAUGUCAGGGAGGGAAACCCCACAUUCCCUGGCACUAUCCAAACAAAGGUUUGGUUAAAACAAAGAAUUCUCAUGGAGAAGAGUCUGAAGGACCCAAAACACAUAUUUCUGUAGACAUCCCAUCCCAAAAUAAACCCAUGGAUCAAGCCAGACCCAAAUACAAGGAUGCUGUGAACCACAUGGUUGAAUAUUCCACACUUUCCCCAUCCAUUAAACCCCACCCAGGGUGGGAAGGGGAUGGAUUUCCCUCAGUUCUCAGGGCCUAGAAGAGCAGGGCUUUUUUCCCUCAACUGGUUGAGUUUUACUUUGUGAGCACCAUGAUUCCUAAAACCAGUUAUAUUUUCUUUUUCUCUUGGGCCGCCAGGGAACUCACAGCGAAAUCUACCAACCAAAGAGGAUGUCCAUACCUGUCUUUUUCUUUCUUCCUUCAUUUUUUGACUUAAUUUCCUCACUUGAAAAAAAAAAAUAAAACACCUUAUUCAGGGUAUACUUUAUGGGCAGUCUUAAUUUUUUUUAUUAGGAUGUGGGAUGUAAAUCCAUAAAAGAAGUAGAAGUGCUGAGCCUUCCUGUGGAGUGGGUGCUGGAGGGGAAAAGGUGGAGUUAGGGGAGGGAAGGGGAGGGCAGGAAGGUUGGUGAUGGGCAGAGAUUCACAGAGACUCCCAGGUCAGGGAGCAAUCCCCCAGUCAGGGCAGCAGGAAUGCCCAGAGGAAUUCUGAUCGGGACAGACGUCGGGCACUGAAUGAAGAGAGGUCCCUCAGGGGCCUGGUCUCAGGGGCCUUGAAUUCCACGCAAAGCGUGUCUUGAGCAUCAACUAUAUGCCAGGCACCUUUUACAUAUAUUAUUUCUUACUUCUAAAUUAUUCCAGAUUUUAAGCCGGGUGCAGUGGCUCACGCCUGUAAUCUCAGCAUUUUGGGAGGCCAAGGCAGAUGGAUAACCUGAGGUCAGGAGUUCGAGACCAGCCUGGCUAACACGGUGAAACCCCGUCUCUACUAAAAAUACAAAAAUUGCCUGGGUGUGGUGGUGCAUGCCUGUAAUCCUAGCUACAUGGAAGGCUGAGGCAGGAGGAUUGCUUGAACCUGAGUGGCAGAGGUUGCAAUGAGCUGAGAUUGUGCCACCGAGCUCCAGCCUGGACUACAAAGUGAGACUCCAUCUCAAAAUAAUAAAUAAAUAAAUAAAUAAAUCUAUCAAUCCAGAUUUUACCAAUUAGGAGACUGAGCCUCAGAGAAGUUAAAUCACUUGUCCAGAGCCCUGAAAUUGGAGAAGCAGCUGCGCUCAGACUGGAACCCUAGAUGGUAGGGCCCCUUAGUCCUCCUUUAUCUUGGGGGGAUCCAGGGAAGGCUUUUCAGCAGGGGAAUGAUGCAAUUGGAUACACAUGUCAGGGGGAACAUGACUGCUUGUGGCAAGGAACGCAGUAAGCCUGGG
rnacentral:lncRNA from 10 species